GUGCUAACUUCAACAGUACAUAUACUAAUAUUGGAACGAUAUAGAGAAGAUUAACAUGGCCCCUACACAAGGAUGUCACACAAAUUCAUGAAGUGCUCCAUAUUUAA